UGCGUAGGCGGGAGAUUAAGUCGGUGGUGAAAUUUUGCAGCUCAACUGUAAAAAGUGCCAUUGAUACUGGUUUCCUUGAGUGUGGAUGAAGUAGGCGGAAUUUGUGGUGUAGCGGUGAAAUGCAUAGAUAUCACGAGGAACUCCGAUUGCGCAGGCAGCUUACUAAACCAUAACUGACGCUCAGGCACGAAGGCGUGGGGAUCAAACA
rnacentral:rRNA from 1 species